rnacentral:lncRNA from 1 species
AAGACUUCAAAGGAACCACAAUCUUCCUUGGCAUUUAAAGCCAAGAAUGUUGAAAAGCAGAAACAUUUCAUUUUCAACAACUCAAGCUUCAUUUGAAGAAAUUCUGUCCAAACAAUUCAACCCCAUAGAUAAACAAAUUUCGAUAGAGCCACCACAAUUUCAUUCAAUUUCAAAGGAUUCGGUCAGAAUUUCAUUCAUAUUUCACGGAGGCAGAAGCUUCAUUCUGUUCAAAUAAUUUCAAGAACAGGUAUGUUAAGGCUAAGAUUUUCCUUCAUUUUAGCAUAAUAUCAUAGUUACACAAGUUUGAUAACGAGGCAUAAAGAAAAAUUCAUAUCCCGGAAUUUGCAUAUAUUUUGCUAGUCUCACAAAUUACAUGUAUUUUCCUAGUUUUGCAAGUUACCAUUUUCUUCUUAUCGGGACUGCAUAUUUAGUUGAGUAUUUCCUUCUUCCGAUCAAAAGAGCAGAGAGUUUACAUAUAUACAAUAUAUUAAAAGUAUUUUCAUUAAUAUCGAGCUAUAAUCGAUGGGCAGGCCUCUAUUGGACAACCUCUGAUCAAAUGGUAAGUUAUAUACCGAGCCUGAUGUGGCCGAGCGCCUAUGAGCGAGCCCAGUUGGUCGAGAUACACAGCCUAGUAUGGCCGAGCGCUUAUGAGCGAGCCUACUAUGACAGAGCAGAUAUAUUUGUUUAUCGAGACUUAUAGGGCCGGAAAACUAUUUUACUCGCUAUAUUGAGAGAGUUGAGUCAGUAUCAGCUGAUGAGCAUAUCUUCAGAUUAUCUUUGAUCCCCAGUUGCUUUCAGAUAUUAUAUCAUUAGUUCUGUUUCAAGCUUUUAGUAUAUUUCCUUACAUACUCGGUACAUUAUUUCGUAUUGAUGUCCCUUUCUGGGGGCACUGCAUUUCAUGCGUGCAGGUUCAAACAGACAGACGGGUAGACCUGCUGAGUAAGUGUUGCUCGAGUUCAACUUUAUCGGUAAGUUCCCCUUCUUUCGGAGUUGUUGGGUCUAGCAGUGUGGUGUAUAUCUUGUGUAUAUAUGUAGAUAGGUUAUGGGUAGGUCGGGGCCCUGUUCUGAUCACAGUACAUCUAUCAAUAGAGGCUUGCAGACAUAUUCUGUCGGUUAGUGCAGUAUGUUGGGCUUGUAGGCCCUAUACGUAUAUUUUGUUGGCCUAUCAGUUGUAGUAAUUAUGAUGGCCUUGCUGGCCCAGCUUUAUGUUGAUAUUAUUCAGUGUUAGUCUCUAUUUAGUUUUACAUUUUGCAUCGCACAUUAUCUUGUAAUGUGGCCCAUAGCCAAAGUAUGACAUUACAUGUUCAGAGUUUCUUAGUCGCAAGUGGUAAGCAAGGAUAGAUGAGGCACUAGGGCCCAUUUUCGCCCCCGGGCUCGGGGCGUAAUAGAUCCCCUAAAUUAUGCUUCCACUAUGCUAUAUUGUGGCUAUGUGACUUGUCGGGGUGGCUCGUUUUGGUUUCGGGUUAGUUUAGGAGUGAAAUGGGAUUAUGACUUGUCGAGGUGGCUCGUCUUAGAGUUCACCAUAGUUUGACUUAUCCGAAAGUUAGAAUAGGUAUGUAAUGUCAUUUAUGACUUGUGUGCAAAAUUUGGAGUUAAUUGGAGUUGUUUUGGUAUGAAUCAGAUUAGUUUGGAAUUUGGAAGUUUAUAAGUUUCUUAGACUUGAAUUGAUGCUCGAAUCGUGAUUCUAGUGUUGCUUGAUAUGAUUUGACGCUUUGAAAGUGUUCAUAUGAUGUUUUAGGAAUUAUUGGUAUGUUUGGUUGAGGUACCUGGGGCCUCGGGUGUAAUUCGGACCAUGUUGAGCGCAUUUCGGAUCGUUGAGAAGCUGAUGAAUCUAGUGUUUCUGGUGUCCUUAUAUGCGAUUGCGGAUGAGUUAACGUGAUCGCAAAGGUUAAAUUGGCACUAGGGAGAAUUUAUUCUAUAUGAUCUCAUGAAGGGCCUGCGAUCGCAGAAGGCUAGUCUCCAGUGAAUCACAAAUGCAUGAAGGUAGUCGUGUUCGCGUAGAAGAAUUAGGGGGCUGCAGGUUCACACGCUUUUCUUCAUCGCGGUCAUGUGGUGUGUUACGCGGUCGAGUAUCAUGAUGAGGCAGUGUUUCGCAUUCGCAUGAGGUUUUAUUGCGAUCGCGAAAUGUUAUUUUGGGCAACAACAUUUUUGUGUUUCGCGAACACGAAGCAUUUUCCGCGUUCGCGAAGAAAUACUCACUGGGCAACAUAACUUAAGUUUGAAAUCAAGGGUUAUUCCAUAUUUUAUAUUUUGGACUUAGAGAGAUCGGUUUGAGGAAAAAUUUCGAGGUAUUUUCAGGGUAAUUGUUGGGAUAAGAAUUCUUAACUCGAUUUUGGUUAAAUUACACUAAACUAUCAUUGUUAUUAUCAUGUAAUUAAGGAUUGGAGUUGGAAAAUUUGGGAAAAAGUGGUAGAAAUUCUUAGACUAAGUUUUUGGGUUUUGAAAGGCAAAAUNNNNNNNNNNNNNNNNNNNNNNNNNUUUUGUCGGGUUUUGAGACGUGGAUCCGAGUUAACUUUUUAGGUCGAUUUUUCAAUUCUUUGCAAAGAUCGUAAUUUCAUUAUUUGAAUUAGUUUCCUAUAGUGAUAUUUAUAGUAUGAAAUUAUUUUUUCUAGUUUCGAGCCAUUCAGAGUUGGAAAAUCGAGGGAAAGGCCUUCUAGUGGAUUGAUUUAGUGUGGUUUGAGGUAAAUGAAUUGCCUAACUUUGUGUGGGGGAACUUUCCCUUAGGAUUGGUGUUACCUGUGAUAAUUGUGAUGUGUAAGAGCCGUGUAUGCAAGGUGACGAGUGUGUACACGGGCUAAAGGUGAAAAUUACCGAUUUUUAGCUAUGAGAAUUUCUUUCAUGUCUUAAUUGAGUUACCUUAAUAUGUUAUGGUCUUCAUUUUUAGUCUAAUUUCAAAUGUCUACUUAAGCAGUCAUCAUCUAAAAUGUAUACUUUCGAGUCCCGUGUGUAUUUUCCUUUUUCAGGGAUGGACCAAAGGAAGAAACAAUCUAGUGAUCGAGAUUUCAUACUUCAAAGCUCUAACACUGGGAGGACUAUAUAUAUAUAUAUAUGAAGAGGCAAAGAAGACAAAAAGUCAGAAUUCAAGCCUGAAUCAGCCUAAGAGCAAAAACCAAGUAUACAAAAAUCUUUGAAGAAACUCGAAAAAGGACACAAGAUGGAUACAAGAUAUACUCCAAGUUCUUAUGAGUUUUUAGGUUAAAUAAUUAGUCACGGGAUAAUAGACCCGAAAUUUUGAAACCUGUUACAAAUGAAGCAGUUGUGAAAGAGUUGUAAAUGUUGUAUUACAUAAAUAAAGAAUGAUGUACACAAUUUGAAAGUUCAAAGCAUAAAACUUCC